rnacentral:rRNA from 1 species
CCGGUUGAUCCCGCCGGACCCUACCGCUAUCGGGAUGGGAUUAAGACAUGUUAGUCGUGCGCUUCCUAGCCAUGAUGGAGGCGCGGCGCACAGCUCAGUAUCACGUGGCUAACCUAACCUUAGGACGGGGGCACCCCCGGGAAACUGGGGCUAAUUUCCGAUAGGUGAAGAUUCCUGGAAUGGAUUUUUGCCUAAAGGGCACUUGGGUCAUGCUUCCAGGUGUUGCCUAAGGAUGGGGCCGCGGCCGAUCAGGUUGUUGGUGAGGUAAUGGCCCACCAAGCCUUUUACCGGUGCGGGCCGUGGGAGCGGGAGCCCGGAGAUGGGCACUGAGACAAGGGCCCAGGCCCUACGGGGCGCAGCAGUCGCGAAAAUUUCGCAAUAAGCGAAAGCUUGACGGAGCUAUCCCGAGUGCCAUCCGCUGAGGAUGGCUUUUCUCUAGUAUAGAUAGCUGGGGGAAUAAGGAGAGGGCAAGUCUGGUGUCAGCCGCCGCGGUAAUACCAGCUCUCCGAGUGGUGGGGACGAUUAUUGGGCCUAAAGCAUCCGUAGCCGGCUGAGCAAGUCCCCUGUUAAAUCCAGCGAUUCAAUCGCUGGCCUGCGGGGGAUACUGCUUGGCUAGGGGGCGAGAGAGGCCGUCGGUAUUCCCGGGGUAGGGGUGAAAUCCUAUAAUCCCGGGAGGACCACCAGUGGCGAAGGCUGUCGGCUAGAACGCGCUCGACGGUGAGGGAUGAAAGCUGGGGGAGCGAACCGGAUUAGAUACCCGGGUAGUCCCAGCUGUAAACGAUGCAGGCUAGGUGUUAGGGCGGCCACGUGCCGCUCUAGUGCCGCAGGGAAGCUGUUAAGCCUGCCGCCUGGGGAGUACGGUCGCAAGGCUGAAACUUAAAGGAAUUGGCGGGGGAGCACCACAAGGGGUGAAGCUUGCGGUUUAAAUGGAGUCAACGCCGG